UGCACUGGGAAGCUACUGCUUCUCUCAAGGCUCAGUAGCAGCCCUUUGCCAGGGUCUCCUCGUGCCCCCUUUUCUGGGCGGGGGGCUCCAGGCUGGCUCUGGUGCCUCUCCGGGGCUUCCCCUUCUGGGUUAGGGCCUCUGUGCGUGUUUUCUCCUAGCGUAGCGUGAUAUCGUGACUUUUCUUCACUGUCUCGUGUGCUCAGUGUCUUACUGGGGAGGGGGGAGGGAAGGGGAGAGGUCUGUAGAUGUAGGUAUUUUUUGAGGGCUUACGUAGCCCGUUUUAAUUUCGUCCUGUGCCCUUGUCUGUCUCGUGUUUCUCACCUGGCCUAGGGGUGUGAGGGCAGAGGGUUAGCCUGGUUCCUGGGCUGUGCUCCCCUUGCACCUGCUGGCUGCCCUUGGCCUGUUUUCUUUCCUUUUUUUUUUUCUUCUUUUUUAGUUCGAUUUGCGUUGUCUUCCUGCCCUGCUCCGUUAGUGCUCCCUGCUGUGCCGGAGGAGAGCAUCCCUCUGCCAGGGAGGGAGCCAACAGCCAGAGGCGCAGCCAAAAGCUGCCCGGGGCCCUGCUCCCCUCCCCAAAUCCACAUCUCCUCAGAGGGCUGCUUGCAGCUGGGGCCUCAGCUCCGGCCUGGAGGCUCCAGGGCCUGUGAAAGGGAGCUGCAGGCCUCUGGUGCCUCUGCAGGUGGCUCGGGGUCCCCUGCGCGGUCACCGCGUGUCCCACCUCAGGCAGCUGUGGAGCCGGGGCUCAGUAUUUCACUACAGUAUUCCACUCGAUUCCUGUGCUGACAGGCUGGUGCUGAGAGCAGAAGCCCCCCCUUAGCUUGCAGGGCAUUAUCUCCCGUCCUGUAAGCGGCAGGAGCGGAGC